AUGUUAAGUUUAUUAUGGGGAAACUAUCCCCCUUUAGGUGUUAGAUGGACUGGUGCACUGGUUGCUGGAUUUUGUGAACGUUUGUGCUUUAUAGUUGAUUUUUGCUUUUUUGGAACAUCAGAUUCUUCUUUUUCCUUGUUGUGGGGGAGAGACAUGCCCUUCAUUACCAUUAUCACAUGUUUAGCUAACACAAUAAUGUUCAUUUUACCGUUUGAACUUUUGGAAUGUGUUAUUAUUAUUGGCCAUAGUUGA